AGCGGCGGACGGGUGAGUAAUGCCUAGGAAAUUGCCCUGAUGUGGGGGAUAACCAUUGGAAACGAUGGCUAAUACCGCAUAAUGCCUACGGGCCAAAGAGGGGGACCUUCGGGCCUCUCGCGUCAGGAUAUGCCUAGGUGGGAUUAGCUAGUUGGUGAGGUAAUGGCUCACCAAGGCGACGAUCCCUAGCUGGUCUGAGAGGAUGAUCAGCCACACUGGAACUGAGACACGGUCCAGACUCCUACGGGAGGCAGCAGUGGGGAAUAUUGCACAAUGGGCGCAAGCCUGAUGCAGCCAUGCCGCGUGUGUGAAGAAGGCCUUCGGGUUGUAAAGCACUUUCAGUCGUGAGGAAGGUGGUAGUGUUAAUAGCACUAUCAUUUGACGUUAGCGACAGAAGAAGCACCGGCUAACUCCGUGCCAGCAGCCGCGGUAAUACGGAGGGUGCGAGCGUUAAUCGGAAUUACUGGGCGUAAAGCGCAUGCAGGUGGUUUGUUAAGUCAGAUGUGAAAGCCCGGGGCUCAACCUCGGAAUAGCAUUUGAAACUGGCAGA
rnacentral:rRNA from 1 species